UACGGAGGGUGCAAGCGUUAAUCGGAAUUACUGGGCGUAAAGCGUGCGUAGGCGGCUGAUUAAGUCAGAUGUGAAAGCCCCGGGCUUAACCUGGAAACGGCAUUUGAUACUGGGCAGCUCGAGUUGAGUAGAGGAGAGGUGAAUUUCCGGUGUAGCGGAGAAAUGCGUAGAGAUCGGGAGGAACACCAGUGGCGAAGGCGGCUCUCUGGACCAAUACUGACGCUGAGACGCGAAAGCGUGGUGAGCAAACAGG
rnacentral:rRNA from 1 species